UAAUACAUUACAACUUUCAGCGGUGGAUGUCUAGGUUCCCACAACGAUGAAGAACGCAGCGAAAUGCGAUACGUAAUGCGAAUUGCAAGACCUCGUGAAUCAUCAAGAUUUUGAACGCACAUUGCGCUUUCGGGUAUUCCCGGUAGCAUGCUUGUCUGAGUGUUUGUGGAU
rnacentral:rRNA from 1 species